GGGUGGUAUCCAAUCUUUGCUAAA
rnacentral:siRNA from 1 species